CGUAGUAACAACGAACUGUGAGAAGUCAGCCGAGGUCGUAGUAGGUUGAAUACCGAAGGAC
rnacentral:ncRNA from 1 species